AUGGCAUGUGGUGGUCAAAUUGCCUGUAUGGGAAGAAAACUUUACUGAAGUUCUGGGGAGAAACCCCAUGGGCUCUGCACCAGAUACUCAGAGAGAAAGUGGUCAGGAAAAGUCGAAUUCUGUACAGGCCAAACAUCACAGAUUGAUAGACCGGAUGUGGUUGAAUCAAGAUCCACUCAAAGAGAGACAGAGUAUACAAAUGACGACACAAUGGGACGAGAGUGACACGCUGGGGUGCAUACGGAGUGCAAGGAGAGGUGCUCUGAGCUAUUCCAAGGGUUUCUGAUCUGGAAUGCGAGGUGGUGAGGAACUGCUUCUCUGAGAGGACGUGGUAUUUGACUCGAGAUCUGAGCAAGGAGGGAAGUUUUUAGGGGAAUUCAUGCUGCAGCUGAUGCCUAUGGCUCAAUAGAAGAUCCAACCAAUUCAGUACAAGGGUGAGGGUCCAAGCAGAGUAUCUCCCACCCAGGACCGGAAAUGAAGUGCAGGAUGACACGAAGAAGUACAAGUCCUUGGUCCCUCACGCAGGGUCCGAAGAUUCUACGCUUUUACCUGGGUCAUCAAGUCCGUGAGGAACCCUAGAAAAAAUCAAACAGAAUAGAGAACAUCAGAGCACAUUGCACAGGGUGGAUGAGCACCUUUUCAUGAAAGCUCAUCUCAGAAAUCUAACAGGAAUGUGGAAUUGUAGCAUCAUGAUAUAAAUUGUGAACACCAGGCCCUCAAAUGAAUGAAUAUUUAUUGAAUCAGUGAAUUUUCCCAGCUAGAA